rnacentral:rRNA from 1 species
GUUACUGCUAUCGAGGUUCGACUAAGCCAUGCGAGUCGAAUGUAGCAAUACAUGGCGAACUGCUCAGUAACACGUGGACAACCUGCCCUUAGGACGGGGAUAAACCCGGGAAACUGGGUAUAAUACCCGAUAGGUCUCGAUUGCUGGAAUGCAUCGAGAUUUAAAGCUCCGGCGCCUAAGGAUGGGUCUGCGGCCUAUCAGGUAGUAGUGGGUGUAGCGUACCUACUAGCCUACGACGGGUACGGGUUGUGAGAGCAAGAGCCCGGAGAUGGAUUCUGAGACACGAAUCCAGGCCCUACGGGGUGCAGCAGGCGCGAAAACUUUACAAUGCUGGCAACAGCGAUAAGGGAACCUCGAGUGCCAGGUUACAAAUCUGGCUGUCGAGAUGCCUAAAAAGCAUUUCAUAGCAAGGGCCGGGCAAGACCGGUGCCAGCCGCCGCGGUAACACCGGCGGCUCGAGUGGUAACCGUUAUUAUUGGGUCUAAAGGGUCUGUAGCCGGCCGGAUAAGUCUCUUGAGAAAUCUGGCAGCUUAACUGUCAGGCUUUCAGGAGAUACUGUCUGGCUCGAGGCCGGGAGAGGUGAGAGGUACUUCAGGGGUAGGGGUGAAAUCUUGUAAUCCUUGAAGGACCACCAGUGGCGAAGGCGUCUCACCAGAACGGACCUGACGGCAAGGGACGAAAGCUAGGGGCACGAACCGGAUUAGAUACCCGGGUAGUCCUAGCCGUAAACGAUACUCGCUAGGUGUCGGCCACGGUGCGACCGUUGUCGGUGCCGUAGGGAAGCCGUGAAGCGAGCCACCUGGGAAGUACGGCCGCAAGGCUGAAACUUAAAGGAAUUGGCGGGGGGAGCACCACAACGGGUGGAGCUUGCGGUUUAAUUGGAUUCAACGCCCGGAAAUCUUACCGGGACCGACAGCAAUAUGAAGGCCAGGCUGAAGACUUUGCCGGAUUGGCUGAGAGGUGGUGCAUGGCCGUCAUCAGUUCGUACUGUGGAGCAUCCUGUUAAGUCAGG